UUCACCUUGAGAUAAUAUAUUUCAUGGACGUGCUGUGUGAAAAACACAGAUGAUCUGAGAGAGACAAACAGUCGCACCACCAACUGUCAGCAUGAACGCCAAAUAUAUUUCGGCUUUUCUGGGUCUUUUCAAUGAUGUGUAUUCGCAACCAGCCAUAUGCCUGGACGAAAAUUCGUCGAUAUAGGAGACAGGGAAAAAAACGUUCACUGAUGUUGCGAAUAGCCGCCCGGCUGAAUAAAAUUCCGGUAUACACAAUUGGGGGCAGUAUUAAAUUAAAAGAGACAUUUAUGUAUCAUACAUAAUGUAUAGGCACAUGGCUGGCUGCAAGUACAUGUUAAUGAAAAAGUCCCCAAAAAGUUGAAAUCAAUCUGAUGUUCUCGACUGGAAGCAAGCUGUUUGGUAGAAGAGUGCUUUGUCUCUCCAUUAAAAGUCCCAGUUUCUGUAUAACAGCUACUUCUGCAUUGGAGGGACUGCCAAAAGUAUCGAGAAAAGAAUACGCGAGCGCUAUCCAUGGCCAAAGAAGUUCAUGUGAAGCAAGUUCAUGAAACUAGCCUUUGUCCAUUAAUUUACCAGCUGCAUAUACAAUGUUGUCAAUUUGGUAUCAGAUUUUGGCACCAGGCCAACAAUUUCGCGGUAGGGGGAAAAUUGAUUAUAUCGACCCACUGCUCAGCUGGUACUUAUUUUAACGACUCCGUGCUAAACUGGUACUUAUUUUAUCGACUCCGAAAGGAUAAACGGCAAAGUCAACCCUAACCGCAUUUGAAAUCAGGACGAAAAGUCGGAAGAAAUGCCGCUAAGCAUUUUGUCCAGAGUAGUAACGAUUCUACCAGCUCGCCGCUGUAUGCUGUCACUUACUUUAAAGACAAAUAUAUACUGGUGAUUAACUUUUAA